UCAAUCAAACCUGCAAAAACAAAAAUGUCUUCUUACACUUUCCGACUGAUCGCUUCUGCAGUGAUCAUUCUCAUGAUACACAUUAGUAGCGACGAAGUAACUGCACAACCCUCAUUUUCAACCGAGUACCAACGUCUAGGAGAUAAUUACACAAAUCCCAGCCAAUUUCAGGUGAAUCUAAACAAAGUUCUCUCUUCUCUGUCUUCCGACAUCACGGCAAGUGAUCGAAAGUUUUUCAACAGCAGCACUGGCAAUAACCUGGAUAAAGUAUAUGGUAUCUUACUCUGUAGAGGAGAUAUUACACAAAAAACCUGCAGGAUUUGUGCGGAAACUGCAAUUUCAGAGUUGACAGAACGUUGUCCAAACACGAAAGAGUACAUUACAUUUUACACUUACUGCAUGCUAAGAUACUCAGACAGAAAUAUAUUUUCUGUUAUGGAGGAAAAGCCAGAGAUCACUUUGCAAAACCGAGAGAGUUACACCAACCAGAAGGUAUUUAACGAUAUUGCAGCACAGUUAAUGAAAGGUCUAGCAAGAAUUGCUACUACAAAUGAAAACCACAAUGAGACUUUACUUUUUGCCACUGGAGAAAUAGAUUAUUCUUCAGUAGAUAAAAUUUAUGGCUUGGUUCAAUGUACUACGGAUAUAUCUACAAGCGACUGCAAUGAUUGCCUAAUGAGUGCAAUUGGUAAUAUCAGUGAUUGUUGUUACGGGAGGAAAGGUGGGAUAGUUCUUAAACCUAGUUGUAAUAUAAGGUAUGAGCCGUAUCCUUUCUCUGACUACAAACAAGAAACUAGUCCAGGUCCCCUUCCUUCAAGUCCUCCUCCAAAACCAAAUGUGACUGCAACAACAGGAGAUACUGGAACGAAAGACCGAGGCUGAUCACUCACCAGCUCCUUCCACUGCUUCCUUUCCUCCACGCUUAACACCUCCUUUCCCAGAGUCAUUAGAAUAUUCAACAAACGGAAAGGGGACGAACACCUUUAACAACUAACUAACUCUGAUCAUGCCUUUAGUUGUUACUCUCGUACUCGCAACAGGAAACCAGUGCCCUCAUUAGACUCCAAUCCCCAACUGCCUUCUUUGAGUGUAAUCAUCAAAUACAGUACUCAGGCAUGUCUGGCAAGUCUAAAUAAUGAUAUGUGAAUUAGCUUUUAUUUAUUAAGAUGCGUCAUUGCGUCCCCAGUAGUCAUCACAGAAUAUGUAUGUGUCUGUAAUACGUGCUCUGGAGAGUGUUAAUAAGGCUUUUCUAUGGCUUUUAAAAUGAUUGAAUUUGGUGUUUUGUUUUGUCA